AUUGUAUCAAACAAGAAUCAAGAAUGGAGACCAGUACGGGCAUUGCAAAGACUGAUGGAGCACAAAAUGUACAGAAAGUUGCAAAUUUUCUACCUAUAAAAUCAUUCUACAUUAAUGGAUGGAUUCAUUAAGCAUCUGCUGUUGGGAAUAUUCCUCCUGGAAACAACCAUCAGGCCUUGAAAAACCCAUGCACACCACUGCAGUUCAAGUUCAAGUGGAAUGCCCAUGCAAGAGACGGGAGAGCUGUGUUCCACUGGAUCUACAGUCAGAGUAACAUGAAGAUUAAAACUGGAUGCAUAUAAUACUUUGAUAUUCACGUGGAAACUGCCAUAAACACUGAAGAACUUUGAAGUGCAGUAACCAUGUGAGUACUUAGUGAGGAGCACAUGUUCCUUG
rnacentral:lncRNA from 1 species